rnacentral:misc_RNA from 1 species
GAUGAAGAACGCAGCGAAAUGCGAUAAGUAGUGUGAAUUGCAGAAUUCAGUGAAUCAUCGAGUCUUUGAACGCACAUUGCGCCCAUUGGUAUUCCGUUGGGCAUGUCUGUUUGAGCGUCAUUACAACAGUUCAGCGUAAGCUGGUUAUGAGUUCUGUUUUUUUAAACAAAAAACAGGCUUUAAAAUGUAUGUUCUGCAGGUCGCUUUGCUAAACCCUAAACAUUAAAUACUGUUCUAGUGAAGCAUUUGCGACUCUGCCUGAAAAAAAACUUUUGUUAAAGUUUGACCUCAGAUCAGACAAGGAUACCCGCUGAACUUAAGCAUAUCAAUAAGCGGAGGA